rnacentral:miRNA from 1 species
UGUAAUCAAUGCAUUAAAUGC